GACGAACGCUGGCGGCGUGCUUAACACAUGCAAGUCGAACGGAAAGGCCCUGCUUUUGUGGGGUGCUCGAGUGGCGAACGGGUGAGUAACACGUGAGUAACCUGCCCUUGACUUUGGGAUAACUUCAGGAAACUGGGGCUAAUACCGGAUAGGAGCUCCUGCUGCAUGGUGGGGGUUGGAAAGUUUCGGCGGAUGGGGAUGGACUCGCGGCUUAUCAGCUUGUUGGUGGGGUAGUGGCUUACCAAGGCUUUGACGGGUAGCCGGCCUGAGAGGGUGACCGGCCACAUUGGGACUGAGAGACGGCCCAGACUCCUACGGGAGGCAGCAGUGGGGAAUAUUGCACAAUGGGCGGAAGCCUGAUGCAGCAACGCCGCGUGCGGGAUGACGGCCUUCGGGUUGUAAACCGCUUUCGCCUGUGACGAAGCGUGAGUGACGGUAAUGGGUAAAGAAGCACCGGCUAACUACGUG
rnacentral:rRNA from 1 species